rnacentral:lncRNA from 1 species
GCAACAGUUGCUCUCUGUAACAUAUACUCAACUCUACACUAUACAUGGAACUCUGAAUUGACUAAGGACCAUUGAAUUGUACACUUUAAACAGGGGAAUUUCACGGUAAAGAUGGAUGCCUUGGAAGAUCCAAAUUGGAAUGGAAAGAAGGUGCUAAUGCAAUCCCACCUCCUCUGGGGGCCGCAGUAUUCAAUCGCACUAUUCAUUUCCUAACCUGAGUUUUAUAAAGAUUGUCUUUGUGGCUGGCAAAUAGACUUGAGUCAAUUACAGCCCACCGUUCCUGACCGUUCCUGACACCAGGCGAAUGUUAAUGGGAAUGACGGAAGGAUGUGAUUUUCUGCACGUGCAAAUUCGAACUGGCAGGCCCCAUUCAGAGAACCUGGAAUUAAGUCUCAGACCUUGGACCCCACACUCGGUCCUCGCUGAGGCUCCCCCCACCGACUGCCCAAUUACAUUAUCUGUGACAUCCUGAGGCCGUCUGAGGGUCCUAAGCAGGCAGUGCCAGGAGCCUGAGCCUGUGCUCUGGGCAGGAGGAGGGGAGAGCUGGGCUGAGUGUGCAGUGGGCCUCCAGGUAGAGCAACCCUCCACAGUGCAGGUGGGCCUUUUGGAAAGCACAGUGAGGGGCACCCUGGCCUCAAACUCUGAAAGCACGGGAGUGCUUGGCUGAGCCCAAAGCCUCAGCCCCUGCGAUGGUUGUUUCCACGGGAGUGCUUGGCUGAGCCCAAAGCCUCAGCCCCUGCGAUGGUUGUUUCCACGGGAGUGCUUGGCUGAGCCCAAAGCCUCAGCCCUACGAUGGUUGUUUCCACGGGAGUGCUUGGCUGAGCCCAAAGCCUCAGCCCCUACGAUGGUUGUUUCCACGGGAGUGCUUGGCUGA